UACGGAGGGGGCAAGCGUUGUCCGGACUUACUGGGCGUAAAGGGUGCGUAGGCGGUUGCAUGCGUCCGCGCUGAAAUCCCGAGGCUCAACCUCGGGGCGCGUGCGGAUACGAUGCGACUUGAGGCUCGGAGAGGGUGGGAGAACUCCUGGUGUAGUGGUGAAAUGCGCAGAUAUCAGGAGGAACACCGGUGGCGAAGGCGGAUCUCUGGGCCAUUACUGACGCUGAGGAGCGAAAGCGUGGGGAGCGAACAGG
rnacentral:rRNA from 1 species